UAUAUAUUAAUGUAAUAUGCAUUUGAAAUUUUGAUUUUUAAAGAAAAAGUUUGUAACUUUUAUAUAUAU
rnacentral:tRNA from 1 species